UUCACUUAUCGCCGGAGGACAUUGUGGCUGAGCAUUUAAGGUAUGUGCUUUCAGAUAUAGGAGUUCAGUUGGGAGUUUCGGAAUCCUUCAGAGACAUGUUGUGAUUGGUGAAGGGUCUUUGUAACGAGAGGCAUACAACUGCCCAUACCUGGUUUCACUAGGUUAGAUCAGGCUUCUGAACGAGGUAUUCUUUACAUUGAUGGGUCUGGACCAACAUAUGCCACAAUAUCUGUAAGAUUACCGAGUUUGUUAAAUCAUUCUUCUCUUGUACUUCUACUAUUAUAGCUCCCUGUCGUAGGAUCACAAAGAUUCUAACACUUUCGAUUUUAUUAUAACUAUAAUAUAUAUUUAUGGAUAUUAAGAUUCUAUAUGGACUGGGAUUGAUUGCUUUGAUUUAGAUCAUAGAAUGUAAGAUAUUAAUGCGUGAACUUUGCAAACCAAAAGAAAUUAUAUGAAGAUUCAAACUUUCUACUCCUCCAACGAUUGUGUGUUGUUGACUUGGUCUAAAACAAUGUAGCUAUUUUUAUUGGAUUAUGUGUGUUGUGUGCUGAUCCUUAAUAUAUGAUAUAUUGGUUUAUGUA